rnacentral:rRNA from 1 species
GUGAACAACCAAGGGCGCGCGGUGGAUGCCUAGGCUCUCGGAGGCGAUGAAGGACGCGAUAAGCCGCGAUAGGCCACGGCGAGGUGCAAGUAACCCUUGACCCGUGGAUUUCCGAAUGGGGCAACCCGGCCGUCUAGAUGACGGUCAUGCAUUAAUGCAGGCGAACGCGGGGAACUGAAACAUCUCAUUACCCGCAGGAGAAGAAAACAAAAUGUGAUUCCCCCAGUAGUGGCGAGCGAACGGGGAAGAGCCCAAACCGUUGCCGUUUCGGCGACAGCGGGGUCAUGGGACCGCGACAUUCGACGGAAGACGAAGUGCAAUUACCUGGAAAGGUAAGCCGUGGAGGGUGACAGCCCCGUGCACGACACCUCUUUCGAAGAUAGCGGGAUCCCGAGUAGGGCGGGACACGAGAAAUCCUGCCUGAAUUCGCCAGGACCGCCUGGCAAGGCUAAAUACUCCCGAGAGACCGAUAGUGAACCAGUACCGCGAGGGAAAGGUGAAAAGUACCCCGAGCAGGGGGGUGAAAUAGACCCUGAACCCGCGCGCCUACAAGCGGUCGGAGCCAUGAAAUAUGGUGACGGCGUGCCUUUUGCAUAAUGAGCCUACGAGUUAGUCGUCACCAGCGAGGUUAAGGGCUUCAGGCCCGUUAGCCGAAGUGAAAGCGAGCCUUAACAGGGCGUUAAGUUGGUGGCGCUAGACGCGAAACCUUGUGAUCUACCCACGAGCAGGUUGAAGUCGCGGUAACACGUGAUGGAGGACCGAACCGGUAAACGUUGAAAAGUUUUCGGAUGACUCGCGGGUAGGGGUGAAAGGCCAAUCAAACUGGGAAAUAGCUCGUACUCUCCGAAAUGCAUUUCGGUGCAGCCUGUGAUGUUCUGUUCCAGAGGUAGAGCUACUGGUUGGACGCGAGGGCUUCACCGCCUAUCAAAUCCGGAUAAACUCCGAAUGCUGGAACACGAAAUCAUGGAGUGAGCCCGCGGGUGCUAAGGUCCGCGGACGAGAGGGAAAGAACCCGGACCACCGGCUAAGGUCCCGGAUGGACAGUUAAGUUGAUCAAACGAGGUGGGAUCGCUGAGACAGCUAGGAUGUUGGCUUGGAAGCAGCCAUUCAUUUAAAGAGUGCGUAACAGCUCACUAGUCGAGCGAUCCCGCGUGGAUAAUACACGGGCAUCAAACUGUCAACCGAAGCCGUGGGGUUAGUGAUGAGCUAACCGGUAGGAGAGCAUUCCUGCCAGCUUAGAAGGUCACCCGCGAGAGUGACUGGAGCGGCAUGAAAAGCAAAUGUAGGCAUAAGUAACGAUAAUGGGGGCGAGAACCCCCCACGCCGCAAGACCAAGGAUUCCCCGGCAAUGUCAAUCAGCCGGGGGUCAGCCGGCCUCUAAGGCUCACCCGAAAGGGGAUGCCGACGAGAAACGGGUUAACAUUCCCGUGCUUCUCGUCACCGUGACGCGGUGACGGGGUGAUGAAUGGACCGCGCGCUGACGGAAUAGCGCGUUGAAGGCCGUACCCUUUGACGGUGGUAGUCAAGCACGCCACCGGAGGCGAGAGCCGAUAGUACCACGAGACCCCGGUCGAGUGGAUAGCGUCCAGGCAAUUUACCCCCUAGAAAACCCGCUAAACUUCAAGUGACGAGGAACCGUACUGUAAACGGACACACGUGGUCGGGUAGAACAUACCAAGGCGCUCGAGUGAUUCAUGGUCAAGGAACUAGGCAAAAUAGUCCUGUAACUUCGGGAAAAAGGACGCUCUAGUGAUAGAGCCGCAGAGUAAUGGCCCAGGCGACUGUUUACCAAAAACACAUGGCUAUGCCAAAUCGAAAGAUGACGUAUAUGGCCUGACACCUGCCCGGUGCCGGAAGGUUAAGAGGAGAGCUCAUCGGAAACGAGAAGGUUUGAAUUGAAGCCCCGGUAAACGGCGGCCGUAACUAUAACGGUCCUAAGGUAGCGAAAUUCCUUGUCGGGU